rnacentral:rRNA from 1 species
GAUGAACGCUGGCGGCGUGCCUAAUACAUGCAAGUCGAGCGAAUGGAUUAAGAGCUUGCUCUUAUGAAGUUAGCGGCGGACGGGUGAGUAACACGUGGGUAACCUGCCCAUAAGACUGGGAUAACUCCGGGAAACCGGGGCUAAUACCGGAUAACAUUUUGAACCGCAUGGUUCGAAAUUGAAAGGCGGCUUCGCCUGUCACUUAUGGAUGGACCCGCGUCGAAUUAGCUAGUUGGUGAGGUAACGGCUCACCAAGGCAACGAUGCGUAGCCGACCUGAGAGGGUGAUCGGCCACACUGGGACUGAGACACGGCCCAGACUCCUACGGGAGGCAGCAGUAGGGAAUCUUCCGCAAUGGACGAAAGUCUUACGGAGCAACGCCGCGUGAGUGAUGAAGGCUUUCGGGUCGUAAAACUCUGUUGUUAGGGAAGAACAAGUGCUAGUUGAAUAAGCUGACACCUUGACGGUACCUAACCAGAAAGCCACGGCUACUACGUGCCAGCCGCCGCAGUAA